GGCUUUGUAGUGUAGAGGUUAUCACUCAAGAUUCUGAUUCUUGAAACCCAGGUUCGAGUCCUGGCAAGGCCU